GUUGCUUUCGGUUUACCUCGGGAAAUUCUACAAGGAAACUGAAGGAGAGAAAGAGCACAGCAGCAAAAGGAGGAGCACAGAGAACCUAUCUAAAAAGAUAAAAAGUUAAAGUAGUGCUUCAAACAGGUAUGCCCUCAUUUUGAGUUAUGUUCAGCAGAGAUAACGAGUGGCUAGCAGUCUGUUUACGGGGCACGGCAUACUGUGUGUAUUCAUAAAUGUCAUUUAAAGCAGAUCACAUCACCAAUUUGUUCACCCCUUGAUGAAACAAUGAGUUAGAUCCUCACCUAUUGACCGCUGUCAAAGCUCUACUGACUUCAGGGAGAAGUGUCUUAACUGAAGGAUCCAGUCUGCAGCGUAGAGAAGCCUCAUUCUUUGAAUGCUGGGUUUGAUAUGGCUUCCUUUCAGCCAGCUCGUAAUGAGUGCCACAUACAUUCAGACAACUUUUUUGUAAUAAUAAUACUUAUCUUCUGGUUUAGAGAUAAUUCUGCUAUCCUGAAGAGGACCUGCAAAUGGAUAAUGACAGGAUUUAGGGCUUAUUGGCAACCAGCUAAGACAUGGAAGUCAAAUAGGAAGAACUGGAGCUGCCUGAAAAAUUCUUCUCAUACACCAAGGAACACGGAACGCUCUUAAAGCAUCUGGGCCGUGUGAAGGUGCCUUUGCAGUGCCCACAAAGAGAAUGAGACUUGGAAGACAGCUUUUAACUGUGGUUCCUGUCUUUGGGAAUGCGGUUGAAGUCAUACUAAGCCAGAUUAAGAGCUCAAUACCUUCAAAUCCUUUAAAUCUCAGCUGGGAUCGAAGAUACUCAGCAAUGUGUAGUAAGGACAAGUUAGUCCAGAAAGGAUUCGGAUGUGAAUUAUGCUGGAUAAGUUUCUGAGGAUUUGGAAACUCUACCAAGCAGCAGUAACAUCAAGCACUGUUAACAGCAACUGUAGUUUUCGCACUGAGAUGCCUCGUGAGAUGCAAAUUGGAAAAAAAGGAGGAGAAAUGAAUAAAGAUGAUUUUAAAAUGUGACACAGUAAAGUAUAGACUACAAAGUAUGGGAGUUACUGAGAAUGUUGGGAAAAUAGGAAGCUUUUAUUUCUCUAAACCCCCCCAAACUCUGCAGCCUCCUAAGACUGAAAGGAACUUAAUUAACGUUCCUUGCUGUCAAUGUUCUGUAUGCCACUCCACCUUCUCAUUCCCUUUUCUGCUGUCACUCAGGAGACUAGGCUUCCCAAAGUAGGCUUUGAGAUUUGGGAGUACUUGUUAAGAAAGACAGGAUAUGGCAGAACACCUCACAGUGGUGCUAGGAUCAGACCUCAGAAUAAUAAUUUCAUUUCUGAAAACCUUUCUCAGUAGAUCCACAAGGUGGGCUUGUGAAGCAUCAAUGCCAUUUCAAGACAGUCUUGUUUAUGAGGUUUUACAUGGAAGAAACAGAUCCAUUUUGAAUGUAACUCUUCCACAAACUAUUGUCACAAAUAAAUUAUAAUAUUGGGCAUCAUACCAGAUGCUUUGCUUUGCUGUUGGAGCCUGAGUACUAUGCUUGGUGUUGUCUGCAUUGUAUUAAAGCAUGGCUGAGUUUCACUCCAGCUGCUAUCCCUAGGGCCCUCAUGAAGAGGAGAUUCAUAUCUCGUGAGAUUACCCCACCGAGCAAAGAAAUGGAAUAAAUAAUACUACUCUUUUAGUUCUGUCAAGAAUAGUAGCUCACAGAAAGAGCUUUUAAAGGCAGUGUCAGCAUGGGCUAGAUACGGCACCAGUGUGGAAAAAAAAGACAUCCUUUACAAGAACAGCACUGCAAAAUGAGGCCAAUGUGAGCCUAAUGGGUGGUGGAAAACAGUGAGCCGUUUUUUUCUCCUCCCUAAUGCAAGCCUGCAGGGGUUUAUUUGCCAGCAUGUAUGAGUCUUAGGGCAAAUCAUCUUGAUGAAACUCUACUACAACAGGAGCUCAAAAUAAAUCAUUGUAGUAGCGGGGAUCUUAUUUGGAACCAAUUAGAGUUUGUGCAGCUUGUUUCCCCUUGACAGCUUUAAUGAAUCUAUCAACACAAAAGUACCAGGACAUAAAAGAUUUUACAGUAGUCUCCAUUAGGAUGAAGGCCACCAGCUAUCUAGUUCCUUCCGCAGUACUAUGCAGUGCUUUUAAAAGAUGAAGAAGGUUGUUAUGAUAAGGUAGUCAUGUGUGAAGAACCAGGAGGGCUAGAAAGAGUUGAAUAAUUUUGUGGUAUUGUAAAUGGAGGAGGAGACGCUCCCCAGGACAAUUGCUCUUCCCUAAGCUGCAGAAAGACUUGCAAAAACCUGCUUGAAAUCUAUGCAAACUAACUCAGCUAGGUACAGUAAAUUCCAAAAUCCUGUAUUACUAUUAGAGGAAAUGAACUCUCUUUUUAUUUGUCGUUGGCUGUAACAUAGCUUCAUAUUAAAAGUUCAUAGCAUAUUUCCAAAAUAUGUUAUGCCAUUUGGUUAUAUUUCAUCUGAAAAUCAUAGAAAGUCUGCUGUAUCAUCUCCACUCUUUGGUGAGUACAACCACCGCGCAACAAUCUGCUGAACACUAUUCCCUGGCUCUUACUGGAGUUCUGUUCCUGUUUCAUUUAACUCUUCAGUGCACUCUAGACUGAUAAUGUCUGCCUAAGUGCGUGAAAAAUAGCAUAGUGCUGCUUAGAAAAGGAAGAGAAAAGGUAUAAGCUCAACAGAGACAUUAAGAAGGGGAGGUUCUGUUGACGAGGGGAGGUUCUUGACUGUGUAAAAGUGCAGUCCUGUCUGUAUUGUUAUCAUUUUCCUUUAUCAUCUCAUGUGUUGUAACAAAAGAGAGUGUAAUUAUCCAGUACUAAGUGUGUGAGUCAGGGAGAAAACAUAACACAUAGUUGUUUGAAAAGCUACUUAAAUUUCUGUUGAGGGUUUUUACAAUGUCAGUAUAACUGGAAUGAUGUUUUUUGGGGGUGAAAUAUUCAAUGUGCUGUUUCCACCCAAAGAUAAGGAACUAUUGUACCCAAGCUCUUCAAAGCUGAUUAGUAAGAAUGGAGGCAAUGGUUACAGCUACGGUGAACCUUAACGCAUCUCAAACUCUGUUCUUAGCUGUGCAUCAGGCAA